rnacentral:rRNA from 1 species
AUUGAACGCUGGCGGCAGGCCUAACACAUGCAAGUCGAACGGUAACAGGAAGCAGCUUGCUGCUUCGCUGACGAGUGGCGGACGGGUGAGUAAUGUCUGGGAAGCUGCCUGAUGGAGGGGGAUAACUACUGGAAACGGUAGCUAAUACCGCAUAAUGUCGCAAGACCAAAGAGGGGGACCUUCGGGCCUCUUGCCAUCGGAUGUGCCCAGAUGGGAUUAGCUUGUUGGUGGGGUAACGGCUCACCAAGGCGACGAUCCCUAGCUGGUCUGAGAGGAUGACCAGCCACACUGGAACUGAGACACGGUCCAGACUCCUACGGGAGGCAUCAGUGGGGAAUAUUGCACAAUGGGCGCAAGCCUGAUGCAGCCAUGCCGCGUGUAUGAAGAAGGCCUUCGGGUUGUAAAGUACUUUCAGCGGGGGGGAAGGGAGUAAAGUUAAUACCUUUGCUCAUUGACGUUACCCGCAGAAGAAGCACCGGCUAACUCCGUG